AAGGAGCGAGCGCCCUGAAUCGCCGCGGAAAAUUGCUCGGGGUGAAUGGGGCCAGGGGAGGGGCGGCGGCCGGGCCCCCCCAAAACCCAGCUCGGUUGCAACGGAGCUGAUUGCAGAUGGGUUGCCAAAAUAACUCGAGCACGGUUGCGUGGUAGUUGCUUUAGGAAAAAAAAAAAAAAAAAAUCAUUCUCCCCCUUCUUAAAAAAAAAAAA